rnacentral:rRNA from 1 species
CGGGGUGCAGCAGGCGCGAAAACUCCACAACUGUACGGAAGUACGAUGGGGUUAUCUCGAGUGCAGUCCGAUAAGGGCUGCUUUUCCAUAGAGUAAUAUCCUGUGGGAAUAAGAGGGGGGCAAGACUGGUGUCAGCCACCGCGGUAACACCAGCCCCUCGAGUGGUAGGGACUUUUAUUUGGCCUAAAGCGUCCGUAGCUGGCUGUAUCCGUCUCCCGGCAAAUCCGGCGUCUUAAGCGUCGGGCUUCGGGUAAUACCAUACAGCUUGAGGGUGGGAUAGGUGAGCGGUAUUUCUGGGGUAGGGGCGAAAUCCUUUGAUCCCAGGAGGACCACCAGUGGCGAAGGCUGCUCACUAGAACACGCCUGACGGUCAGGGACGAAAGCUGGGGCAGCGAACCGGAUUAGAUACCCGGGUAGUCCCAGCUGUAAACGAUGCUAGCUAGGUGUUGGGUCGGCCACGCGCCGCCCCAGUGCCGCAGGGAAGCCGUUAAGCUAGCCGCCUGGGGAGUACGGCCGCAAGGCUGAAACUUAAAGGAAUUGGCGGGGGAGCAC